CCUUAUGCAUUUAUCCUUAUAUUUUUUGUCAGUAGAAUAAAUCCCUAGGUGUGUGAUUUUUAGGUCAAAGAGUAUGUUCAUUUAAAAUUCUGAUCCUAUUUCCAAGUUGUUCUCCAAACUGGCAGACCCAGCCAGUUCUCUCUCCCUGACAACAGUGGAUAAAUACUGCUGUUGUCCCAUCUGCUCCAACACCACGUAGUAUCAGACUUUUUGAUCUUGGUUAUUAAGGAUCGGUAUCUCUGUGUUCAAUUGACGCAGUUUCCUUGGGAACCUUUCCUGGGGUCAGACCUGGCAAGUCCCGGUUGGAGACGAGCCUGGAACCCGGCCCAGCUAGCCGGCACCACGCCCCCGACAGCACCCAAGGCUCCACUCGCUGCUCCCUGGCUUUCUGCGUUUUCCUUUCUCCCCCACAAGUUUCUGAUUCCUGGAACCAGACUCAGUGACCUCACGCCGGUGACUUCACAUCCGGGACCUUCUGGGAAUUCUCAGCAGCACUUUUUCACACUGGGCCUACUAUAGAGAAGACCAGAGAGACCUAUAGAGAAGACCAGGCCAAAGUCAAGGGCUGGGGCAGGAAAUACAUUUACCAGGAGAAGAGCUGGGCUUGAAUGACUCCUUGAAAGGUGAGAGAGGAGCCUUUCUAGAACGUGUGACCCAUAACCCUUCAUCCUCGCGCAAAAUGUACUGAACAGAACUUGAGUUCAAAUGCCGGGUCCACCAGGAAGUGACAGGGUUUACUCAUCCAUGAGACAGAUUAGAUGUGUUUUCCAAAGAGGGCCACUCUGAUAUCUCCCAUCCCAUAUGUUGUCCUUAUAAUGUGUUUGACAUUUUUCCAAUCAAGAGAAAGGCAUCUAAGUGCUAUCCCCUUAAAUCUAGGCAGGCUUGUGACUGUAGUGAAAGGACACUUUGUGACUUCUGAGGCUGCAUCUAAAAGGCAAUCUGGCUUCCACUUCUGGAGACAUUGGGACGCAGCCACCAUGCUAUGAGGAAGCCCAAGCAGCCGGGGGAGAGAUUCAUCUGGAGAUGAACCAAGGCCCCCAGCCCACAGUGCUGGCUGCACUCCCAGUCAACAGCUAUCAUCCACUUGCUAGCCUUAAUAGUGAACCAUCUUGGAAGCAGAUAUUCCAGUGUCAAGCUGAGCUGUCCCAGCUGAUACCACACUGAGCAGAGAUGAGCUGUCCCUGAUUGCUGAACUGUGAGCAAAAUAAAUAUUUGUCAUUAUUUGAAGCCAUUUGAAUUUGGGGCUGGUUUGUUAUGCAGUAAUGGAGAGAUAUAAUCCAUUAAAUUAAUAUUUACGGGGGCCUGCUCUGUGCUGGGCUCUUUGCCAGGAGAGCUGGGGCUAUAGGAUGAACAGGACAGACACCGUUUGUGCUAUCAUGGAAUUGAUUGUUCAGCUGGGAAACUACACUGUAAUCAGGGUGCACUGAUUCACUGGCUGGCUGAGCUAAGCUUGAAGCUGUGACGAGGUUCCCAGGUUCCAGGUACCUUGCCUUUUUGCUUUUUCUCCAAGUGUCAACAUUAAAUGUAUUGCAUAUACUAAUAGUCUCCCUUUCCCCAGAGCCAUUGUGAAGCUCCAAUGGGAUAAGGGCUAUUAAGGACACCCAGGAAGCUGGGAGGGGCCCAGGGGCAGUGCUGGGGUGACUAUGUGCCAUCAUACCAUCUCUAGAGGCCUUGCCUCAGCCCCGUCACUGGGGCACCAUUUCUUAUCUCUUGCUAUCACAUCGGCACCCCAGCACUUCCUCAAGCUUCUGUUCUUGGUGGCUUCCCUGCCGCCCCCAGGCACAGACAGCAAGAGCAGUCUCUUUAAAAUGCCUGUGUGUUCACACUGUCCAUCUGCUUAAACCACUUCAAGGCUUUCCACCCCUGUGCUAUAGGAUCCAAGUCUUUGCUGAGGCUCACAAAGCUCUGUGCGAGGGCCUCACCCGCCCUACCUCUGUCCUCAACCCGGUCUCAGAGCACUCUCUCCUUCCCUUGCUUUCCUGUCCCCAGAAUGCACAAUGCUCUCUCUCCUACUUCAGGGUCUUAGCACCUGCUGUUCCUUAUGCUGAGCUACUGGGGUCAUCUCAGCCCCCUCUUCUACCCCACCUGCCUGUAACAUUUACAGAGGCAAGAGAAUAAAUGAAUUCUGGCUCCAUCUCUCCUUUCUUCCUGUCCCUGGUUCUGCCCUGCACCACGAAGGGACUGUGCAUACGUGUGGACACCCCAGACUGCAGGUCCAAGCUGCACCCAUGAACUCUCUUUGACCGCCCCCAGGCCUAAAGGUAUAUGCCUUAGUAGAAUAGUCUGCCCUUGGGUGGACGGACCUAGAAAAGAAACCCGCACAGUUCCUGGAAGUGAGCUGGGGAGUUUGAGUGGCGGAUACUGGCGUCCCAAGGUACCUUGAGAUGGAGAGAGACAUCUUAAAAGGACUUGCCCAAGGGGCUGCCGGGAGGGCCAAUGGGAGCUUAAAAGAUUUGUGGAGGUGAUCUCCCAGGACCAAUGACUGAACAGGGUUGUCAAGAGCAGACUGGAAAGUGCAUCACCUUGUCAGUAGCUGCAGGGGGUGUGGGAUGUGAAAAUCCCCAAAAAUCCUUCAGAAUGCCCCGCGAUAGAGUCAGCCUUGAAUACCUGCCAACUCUGGGAGUGAUGCAUUAGGGAAGUCCCUGGUAUUCGAUCUCUUUCCUGCCCCUUAUCUGUCUCCCCGCCCCAUCCCCUGUGCUUUGACCCUAGAGGGGUCAGAAAACUUGGAGUGCAAGCCGAGCAGGCAGGGGAGAGGGCAAGGCAGAGAUGUGGAAGGCUGCCCUGGCUGGGGUUGGAAACUCAGAGGGGAAGGGGAGGAUAGCUGGCUUCCUCACUGUUUCUUCUUCCUACUCUUCAUUCCUCUUUACCCACUCACGGUGCCACUCCUGACUCUCCUACGGUGUGGCAAGGAGGGGGAGGAGCAGAAAAGGAGCAGACAAGCAGGGCUGAUGCUCUCUGGGUGGGUCAGGUGCCCAAAUGCUGGCUCUUUCUCUGAGGUGUGCUGGUGGGUGCACUGGCGACACCACCCACAGGCACAAUAUUCACUGACAAAGGUGACGUAGCCUCAAGCCACCUGCUUACAGCGGCUCCCCACCUGCACAGGCUCUUGCCUGCUGGCAUCCUCUUGAGUGGGCGCUCAGGAGACCCUAGCGUCUCUCUUUACUCUUGCACCCCAGUCAGCACCAGGGGACUCAGGCCAAGCUCUCCCACUGGCUCUCUUGAAGGCCUCCUGUCACACUUAAGAGGAGGGGAGGGACCACUCUUUCGUUUAAGAAAUGCUCUUUCUAGCUUCACUCCUACUCCCAUGCUUCUCCCAAUACAGCCUGGCGGCGGGUGAUGGGCUGACAGUCAAGAGCCAACUUACUUGGCAUCUUUCUGCAAGUCUGCACUUCACUCCAGAGUGUGGGGCAUUCGGAUGCAUUUUUCUUACCUCUGGACCUUUGACCAAAAUUGCAGACAGAAAAGGAUCCCUGAAAAGUCAUGCUACAUGAAGAAUGAUUUUGCAGCUGUGGGGAUCCAAAAUGCACUUGAAUGACAUAAAGAUUCUUUUAAGCUAAAAACAUCUAAACAAACAGCAGCUGCAGGACACACACACAGACACAGAUACACACAUACAAACACAUAAACACAUGAUUGUGCAAAAAAAAAAAAAAAAAACUUACCUAAACUUCCUUUGCCACCAUAAAUCCCCUCUCUAGGAGGUCUAUAGCCAGAAGAGACUAACCACUGUCACCACAGUGAGUAAUUGCUUAGACAAACUUUAUCUGAAACUACCAUGCCUUCCAUUUGUUCUUCCAUAGCAGUCCUUUUUCCCUUAUUAAGUGGGUAUACAGACCCCUAUUUUUGGCUGUUUCGGGAGCUGAUUCAUCUAAAGCCUCCCUCAAAUAAAGGAACUUCAUUUCUUUUUCCUGUGAAUCUGUUGUUAAUUUGUAGGCCCUGAACCUAAAUACGUAGAGGAAAAGUUUUUCCUCCCAACACAUCUUUCUGUUGUCAACGAGAGUACAGAUGACUGUCUAAGAUUUUCUAUCUGGUCCCAGAUAGCAUCUUCCUGCUCUGCCAAUGCUCCUGCCUAGCAGUCUCUUGCUCUCUCUUAUGCAUGUUAAUUGGAUUGGAAGAAGAGAUGGGAAAAAGAGGCCAUAUAGGAGACUAUACUACUAAAUUUACUACUGAAGGGUGGCAGAAUAUGCCAGCCCAAAAUGGGGCACUUUGGCAUAAGGAUUGUAAGUAUUUUGAGCUAGGGGUAAUUGAGAAGAAGCGGAUACUGGAAAAGCCCUCUGCCCUUCCCUUAUUUGUACAUAACUUUACAAAGGUGUCCCUCCUCUCUUCUCCAGCAGGAAGGACAAAGGUUGAAGACAACUUUGGAUCCCAUCAACCUGGAGAUGGCACCGGAGGAAUCUGCAUAACAAACUUUACUAACUAGCUUUCGUCUACCAGGAAUUUCCUAUAUAUUUGCCUUCCCACAAUUUGCUGUCCCUGGAGACUCAAGGUCCUUUUUUUUUUUUUUGAGACAGAGUCUCACUCUG